rnacentral:ncRNA from 1 species
CUUCACGAGACGCCGUUGCCAAGCUCCGACUAGACGGCGCGCCAACCCCACGCUCGCGGGUGGCUCGGAUGACGAAGCGGCCGCCAUCGACCGAUGCCGGCAAGAGCGCCUC